rnacentral:rRNA from 1 species
UACGAAGGGGGCUAGCGUUGCUCGGAAUUACUGGGCGUAAAGGGAGCGUAGGCGGAUAGUUUAGUCAGAGGUGAAAGCCCAGGGCUCAACCUUGGAAUUGCCUUUGAUACUGGCUAUCUUGAGUACGGAAGAGGUAUGUGGAACUCCGAGUGUAGAGGUGAAAUUCGUAGAUAUUCGGAAGAACACCAGUGGCGAAGGCGACAUACUGGUCCGUUACUGACGCUGAGGCUCGAAGGCGUGGGGAGCAAACAGG